CUCGCUUCUCGGCCUUUUGGCUAAGAUCAAGUGUAGUAUCUGUGUGUGUGUGUGUGUGUUAAGUAAUCUGUGGCUCAGCUUACAACUCCCA
rnacentral:snRNA from 1 species